GCGAACCGGGGGAACUGAAACAUCUAAGUACCCCGAGGAAAAGAAAUCAACCGAGAUUCCCCCAGUAGCGGCGAGCGAACGGGGAGGAGCCCAGAGCCUGAAUCAGCAUGUGUGUUAGUGGAAGCGUCUGGAAAGGCGCGCGAUACAGGGUGACAGCCCCGUACACAAAAGCGCAUGUGCUGUGAGCUCGAUGAGUAGGGCGGGACACGUGGUAUCCUGUCUGAAUAUGGGGGGACCAUCCUCCAAGGCUAAAUACUCCUGACUGACCGAUAGUGAACCAGUACCGUGAGGGAAAGGCGAAAAGAACCCCGGCGAGGGGAGUGAAAAAGAACCUGAAACCGUGUACGUACAAGCAGUGGGAGCCCCACCACCAAAGCAUUCUCUGGUGUUGAAGGCCCUGCAAAGCAGCAUCGCGGUGGCGGAGCGUCGUUUGCGACGCCCAACACACAAAACAAGCGGUGAGUGCUUUGGGGUGGGGUGACUGCGUACCUUUUGUAUAAUGGGUCAGCGACUUAUAUUCUGUAGCAAGGUUAACCG
rnacentral:rRNA from 1 species